UCUCACAGAAAGCCAGAGGGGAGGACGUGGGGCUAUCAGUCCAACUCCUCAGUUAAUAGCCAGGGAAACAGAAGCCCAGGGAGAUAAAGACGGUGGCAGAGGAGGAAUUCUUUCUUAGCAGAUCUUCCAUUCCUAAUCCAGGAUCAUUUCCAGGGCUCCCAGGCAAAGGCUUCUCUUUUCUAGGUUCUCAAGAUGCUUGAAUCCUGGGACAAACACAGAGGAAGGAGCUCCUAAGGAUGGGGGCAGUGGUGAGGAAACAGGCCACUGAGACAGUGAUGGUGUUUGUAGGCAAAGAAGCUACUUGUAUUUGCCAACCACACCAGGAGGCCAGGUUAGGAGUUUCAAAACAAGUUUGCUGCCAAGAAAAACACACAAAAACCCAUAGAUUCAUGCUCUGUAAAUCUCAAGAAGCAACUCUGUCCCAUCCCCAGUCAUGCCCUACACUGGGUCUGUCUUAGAAUUCUAUGUGCAAACUGGCCCCUGCUACUUAUGACACCCCCGAGGGCCUGGCUUUCAUUCAUCCUCCUAUCCAAUCACUAUCUGGUCCCCAGGGUAAAGUGCAGUAUCUAUACCCAGAGUCACAGCCUGCAGAGCCUCUGGGAGAAGCCGGCCACCAGGAUGCUCUUCCCAGUGACGUAGCUGGCAUCUGUAGAGUGCAGGAAGGACAUGGUUCCUGCACAGUCCUCUUAACCCCUGCAUGGAAAGAGAACAGAACUGAGGCCUCAGCCUAUGCUCUAAUGAACUCUGAUCGCUGGUCCUGCUGCUCUGAACAUAGGGCCCAGCACCACCUCCAGCCCUGAAUCCCACCUCCCUGGCCCAUCAGAGGCCUGGGCUCCAUAGAGAGAUAUGGUGGGGCCCCUCAUGCCCUCCAGAUCCCACCUCAUGGGCUGUGCAUCCCCAGACUCUGUGAGAGGACGGGCUGAUAGGUGAGGAUACAGUCCGAGAGCCCUGUCUCCCCUGGAGAAGACUACCUGUCUCUGCUAUCCACAGGGGUUUUUAAAGGAGUUUUGCAGAGCCAGAUUAUCUUCAACCUGAAAAAAUUCAGAGGCUCAGUGCUAAAUAGAACUGUGAAGGGCCAGAGAGGCUGCCAUGGCAGACUCAUGCCCUUGUGGGCAGAUGGCCCUGCUCAGUGCUGGGUCUGCAGUCCCUCGACUGCGACUCGCCGCAGGGCACAGCACCCUCCAGAAAAACAGGUCACUGAAAAUAAUAUCAGGGGAGGAAGUCAAGAAGGCUGCUGUAUUCAUUCUGCUUUAAUGAGUAGAGCUCUCCUCUCUCUUUCUCUCGGCUCCCUUGCUUUGGAGGGAGCCAGCUACACAGAAAUUCAGGCAGUCUAUGAAGAGGCUCACCUUGUGCCAGUGACCACUUGAGUGAGCCAUCUUAGAAGUGGCUCUUCCAGCCCCAGACAAACUUUCAGAAACUAAAGCCCUGCUUCACAUCCUGACUAGAACCUUAUGAGAAACUCUGAGCCCAACCCACCCAGUUAAACCACUCCUGAAUCCCUGCCCCACAAAAACUGUGAGAUAAUAGAACUCUUACCAAAACAGGAAUAGAAGACAUAGGGUGCAACCAUUUCUCCAGGCUGAAACAGAGCCCCUGAGGAAGGAGCAAAUCUGAAGUUCCCCUGGAGAAAUCUUUUGCCACAUUUGGAGAAAGGAUUGAAGAGAAAUGAGAGCCUGGAUGUGAAGAAAACAUUAGGAAGCUGCAGCAGUAACCUAUGUGAGAAAUUAAGAGAACCUAAAUCAGAUCCGUUGGCCAUCAAGAUUUCACUCAUUUUGAGACCUAGAGAUUGGUGCUCCUGGAGCUGUGAAAUGCGUGGCCUCUGUAGCCCUGGUGAGUGAGAGUCAAGAGAAGCUAUGCUGUACCCUCAACACUCUGCCUAGAGAUUUCUUCCAUGAAAUAUCCUAGUUCACAUCUGCCUCCUGCAAACUACUAGGACAUGGACACUGCUCAGCCAAGGCCCCAUCAGCAGAGGGAGGAGAAGAGGAGAAGCAGCUGGACAUCAGAGACUAUGGUUGGACAUUGGAGAGAAGCAGCUUGACUUCAAAGGGACGGCUUGAUGGCAUUGCUUCGGAGAGGAGUUCAGCCAGGGACAGCUGGACUCUAGGGGAAUAUUAUCUUCCCACACCAUCCACUUUUCAGCUCCCCUUCCCACUGAGAACCACUUUCAUUGG
rnacentral:lncRNA from 1 species